rnacentral:rRNA from 1 species
GAACCUCGCAGUGUGUAAAAGCUAACUGAAUCAUAGAAUUUUUUAAAAUUCAUGAUGUCGUAAGGGAAAAUAAUGAUAAUACCUUACUAUGAGUGUCGUCCAAAUCUGGUGCCAGAAGACUCGGUAAGACCAGAGACGCAAACGUUAAUCAUCAUAAACAGGCGUAAAGGGUUUGUAGGCAGCUUUCACCAAACUAUGAUUACAAAAUAAAGUAGUUUAAUUGAAAGCUAGAAUCAAAAAGAGGUUAUAGUGUAUAACGCCUAGAGGAGGGCUGAUAUCCAUAGAUCCUAGGCAGAAUACUCAGGGCGAAGGCCACUCUCCACUACUGAUUGACGCUGAGAAACGAAGGUUAGGGUAGGAAAUAGGAUUAGAUACCCCGGUACUCCUUUCUGUAAACGAUGAAUGGUAGUCAUUAGUUUUAUAACUAGAGACGAAGUUAACACAAUAACCAUUCCGCCUUGUGAGUACUACUGCAAAGUAGAAAACAAAAAAAUUAGUCGGUCUCGAAGCAAACGGAGUGAAGCAUGUUAUUUAAUUCGUAUC